UACAGAGGGGGCAAGCGUUGUUCGGAAUUACUGGGCGUAAAGGGCGCGUAGGCGGCCUGCUAAGUCGAACGUGAAAUCCCCGGGCUUCAACCUGGGAACUGCAUUGUGACUGCAUGCUGGAGUGCGGCAGAGGGGGAUGGAAUUCCGCGUGUAGCAGUGAAAUGCGUAGAUAUCAGGAAGAACACCCGUGGCGAAAGCGGCUCUCUGGAACGGUACUGACGCUGAGACGCGAAAGCGUGGGGAGCGAACAGG
rnacentral:rRNA from 1 species